CAUCUCCGCUGCUCCCGGUCGGCACUGUCCCCCGCAGUCGAGGCGCGGGCUCCUCCGGGGGUCUGAUAAAGCUGGAAAUAUCUCCAGAUACGUUUGUGAGAGACUGUAGAUGUACCAGCUCCUGUAGCAGCAGCAUCUGCUGGGGCCGUGUGAUCUGAAGAAAUAAACACAGGACUUCCUGAUGUCUAAAAUUAUAUAAUCCCGGUUCUCCCAUUGACUCAAUGGCAAGCUCUCAAGUGUCUUGGAGUACUCCGCAUUUGGUGGGAAAUAUUGAAAGCGCUCUUUUCUCUCUUCACAUUUGUCAUCCACAGAGUCCGACGAUGAUAUAACUGAAGCAAAGAGAGGAUCAGUCACCUGGCAUGGAAGUAUUGGCACCAGAUAGGCCUUGAAUCCAGAAGCUGUGUUUAAUUUAUUGCAACAAUCUACUGUUUUUUUUGCCAACAUUUCAAAAGAAGGGAAGCUGAGCUGGGCAAAAACCUACAUCCAAGCUAGCUAUGAGAUCAAUGGGAAGAUGUCUGUACUACUGUGAUAUACAGGCCUUCAUGUACAUCUGCUAGAAAUAGUCUGCAAAACUUUUGGUGGCUUCUUCAGAAAUUCUAAGAGAAAGGUAAAUUUGAGCACAUUUAUUCAAUUGAGUGAAAUACUGAUAUUAGCCCUAAAACUAUUUAAUCCUCCAUGUAGUGUACUGUUGCUCGUAGCUGUUCAGUUUGGAAUCCACAGAUGAUACCUGAGAUUAUAAUUGCUGAGUUCAAUUAUUUUCUGUCUUUAGCUCUCUGAUAUACAUUUACAACAUAAAAGGGUGAUGCAUAAUUUGGUAUUUUGAAAAAUAACUGUUGUAAAGUUACUGAACUUACAAAAUGUCUCCCUCCUUUGAUUGUAUAUGAGGAAUAACAAAAGUGUCAAUCAGCCUGCUUCCAGGGUAACCACAGCAUAUGGACAGCUCUUUAUUAGCUGAUAAUACACUGCACAGAAAGGUCAGGUUAUAAAAGUCUUUUCAGGCUUUUAUUGUCAAAAUAUUAAAAAAAUCUAUGUAAGCAUCGGAAUAAAAUGCAUG